UGGCUGUGAUUAUAAAUUAUCCGCGCUUCUGAGAGCGAUCAGUGAAGCGAAAAGGAUAAAAAUGGUUGAAUUUCUUAAUAUGAGCCU
rfam:Daucus carota subsp. sativus cultivar DH1 chromosome 3, whole genome shotgun sequence.